AUCCAUCUGCCGAGUCCCAAAUAGGAUAAAACGAGCGUCCUGGAU
rfam:Schistosoma curassoni strain Dakar, Senegal genome assembly, scaffold: SCTD_scaffold0006101